UACAGAGGUCCCAAGCGUUGUUCGGAUUCAUUGGGCGUAAAGGGUGCGUAGGCGGCGGGGCAAGUCAGGUGUGAAAUCUCGGGGCUCAACCCCGAAACUGCACUUGAUACUGCCUUGCUCGAGUACUGGAGAGGAGACUGGAAUUUACGGUGUAGCGGUGAAAUGCGUAGAUAUCAAGAGGAACACCAGUGGCGAAGGCGAGUCCCUGGACAAGCCCUGACACUGAGGCACGAAAGCCAAGGGAGCAAACAGG
rnacentral:rRNA from 1 species